AUUCCGGUUGAUCCUGCCGGAGGUCAUUGCUAUCGGGAUUCGAUUUAGCCAUGCUAGUCGCACGGGUUCAGACCCGUGGCAGAUAGCUCAGUAACACGUGGCCAAACUACCCUAUGGAGGACCAUAACCUCGGGAAACUGAGGCUAAUAGUCCAUACGACUCUCUCCCUGGAACUGGGUUGAGUCAGAAACGCUACGGCGCCAUAGGAUGUGGCUGCGGCCGAUUAGGUAGACGGUGGGGUAACGGCCCACCGUGCCAAUAAUCGGUAUAGGUUGUGAGAGCAAGAGCCUAGAGACGGAAUCUGAGACAAGAUUCCGGGCCCUACGGGGCGCAGCAGGCGCGAAAACUUUACACUGCACGACAGUGCGAUAAGGGAAUCCCGAGUGCGAGGGCAUAGAGCCCUCGCUUUUCUGAACCGUAGGGUGGUUCAGGAACAAGAACUGGGCAAGACCGGUGCCAGCCGCCGCGGUAACACCGGCAGUUCGAGUGAUGACCGAUAUUAUUGGGCCUAAAGCGUCCGUAGCUGGCCGUGCAAGUCUGUUGGGAAAUCUGCUCGCUCAACGAGCAGGCGUCCGGCAGAAACUGUGCGGCUUGGGACCGAGCGAUCCGAGGGGUACGUCUGGGGUAGGAGUGAAAUCCCGUAAUCCUGGACGGACCACCGAUGGCGAAAGCACCUCGGAAGAUCGGAUCCGACAGUGAGGGACGAAAGCUGGGGUCACGAACCGGAUUAGAUACCCGGUAGUCCCAGCUGUAAACGAUGCCAGUUAGGUUUGGCGCGGGCUACGAGCUCGUGCUGUGCCGCAGUGAAGACGAUAAACUGGCCGCCUGGGAAGUACGUCCGCAAGGAUGAAACUUAAAGGAAUUGGCGGGGGAGCACUACAACCGGAGGAGCCUGCGGUUUAAUUGGACUCAACGCCGGACAUCUCACCAGCUCCGACAGUAUGCAGUGACAGUCAGUGUGAUGAGCUUACUUGAGCUACUGAGAGGAGGUGCAUGGCCGCCGUCAGCUCGUACCGUGAGGCGUCCUGUUAAGUCAGGCAACGAGCGAGACCCGCACUCCUAAUUGCCAGCAUAGGCUUCGGCCUGAUGGGUACAUUAGGAGGACUGCCAGUGCUAAACUGGAGGAAGGAACGGGCAACGGUAGGUCAGUAUGCCCCGAAUGAGCUGGGCUACACGCGGGCUACAAUGGCCGAGACAGUGGGAUGCAACCCCGAGAGGGGGCGCUAAUCUCCGAAACUCGGUCGUAGUUCGGAUUGUGGGCUGAAACUCGCCCACAUGAAGCUGGAUUCGGUAGUAAUCGCCUCUCAGAAGGAGGCGGUGAAUACGUCCCUGCUCCUUGCACACACCGCCCGUCAAAGCACCCGAGUGAGGUCCGGAUGAGGCCCGGCAACGGGUCGAAUCUGGGCUUCGCAAGGGGGCUUAAGUCGUAACAAGGUAGCCGUAGGGGAAUCUGCGGCUGGAUCACCUCCU
rnacentral:rRNA from 1 species